AUAAAUAGACAAACGUGUGAAGGUCGUAUUAUAGAUUAAUUCAACAAUAUGUGUGUACGCAUGUUAUUUGUUGUCAUUAACAGAAUCUACAUGGCAGAAUACGUUUGAUUUGUUAAAGUUAUAUGACAUUUAACUGCAGGUGAAAUUAAUAAAGAUUUGGAGGAAUGAACAAUUGUGUAGGAAACCUCGUCUAACACAGCAUUGUAGAAGAUGAAUGUGGAAUCAAUAAAUGCUGUGUGUGGAAUAGCAAUUGUUCAAAGAAUAUUUGGUCCAGGCCCUACAGAAGGAUCUAAUCAUAUAAAACUACAAACCGCUGGUGGUCCAGAUUCUGUGUUUCAGAGAGUUAUUUUAAUGAAAUACAUUUACUACGAUUCAAAAAGAUUCCAUUUCCGAAAGAAUGAUAACAUGCAUUUUAGGAUUCGUUAUGAUGAAAAGACAGAGUGGCACAGAAUAGAAUUUGCCUCACUAGGUUCAGAAUGUUUACUGUGUAGAUCUAUACGAAAACAUUGUGAUUUAUCGUUCAAGAGAGAUUUGUGAUGCGUAAUGUUUUUGUUUUUCUUGUUUAAAUUAUGAUGGGUUUUAAAGUAAAUUGUUUUGUUGAUA